AUUGAACGCUGGCGGCAGGCCUAACACAUGCAAGUCGAACGGUAACAGGAAGAAGCUUGCUUCUUUGCUGACGAGUGGCGGACGGGUGAGUAAUGUCUGGGAAACUGCCUGAUGGAGGGGGAUAACUACUGGAAACGGUAGCUAAUACCGCAUAACGUCGCAAGCCCAAAAAGGGGGACCUUCGGGCCUCUUGCCAUCGGCUGUGCCCAGAUGGGAUUAGCUAGUAGGUGGGGUAACGGCUCACCUAGGCGACGAUCCCUAGCUGGUCUGAGAGGAUGACCAGCCACACUGGAACUGAGACACGGUCCAGACUCCUACGGGAGGCAGCAGUGGGGAAUAUUGCACAAUGGGCGCAAGCCUGAUGCAGCCAUGCCGCGUGUAUGAAGAAGGCCUUCGGGUUGUAAAGUACUUUCAGCGGGGAGGAAGGGAGUAAAGUUAAUACCUUUGCUCAUUGACGUUACCCGCAGAAGAAGCACCGGCUAACUCCGUG
rnacentral:rRNA from 1 species